GGCUGAAACUCGCCUACAUGAAGCUGGAGUUGCUAGUAAUCGCGAAUCAGCAUGUCGCGGUGAAUACGUUCCCGGGCCUUGUACACACCGCCCGUCACACCAUGAGAGUUGGCAAUACCCAACGUACGUGAUCUAACCCGCAAGGGAGGAAGCGUCCUAAGGUAGGGUCAGCGAUUGGGUGAAGUCGUAACAAGGUACC
rnacentral:rRNA from 1 species